CUGUGUUGCCAGAUUAUGUCAUUAGUAAUUAAAAAGUCACUUGAGGGCAAGGGCGGCCCGACCCCCCAGGAGGCCAUCCAGAGGCUUCGGGACACGGAGGAGAUGCUAAGUAAGAAACAGGAAUUCCUGGAGAAGAAGAUCGAGCAGGAGCUGACAGCCGCCAAGAAGCAUGGCACCAAAAACAAGCGCGCUGCCCUCCAGGCACUGAAGCGCAAGAAGAGGUAUGAAAAGCAGCUGGCACAGAUCGACGGCACACUGUCAACCAUCGAGUUCCAGCGAGAGGCCCUGGAGAAUGCUAACACCAACACCGAGGUGCUCAAGAACAUGGGCUAUGCCGCCAAAGCCAUGAAGGCUGCCCACGACAACAUGGACAUCGAUAAAGUUGAUGAGUUAAUGCAGGACAUUGCUGACCAGCAGGAACUUGCAGAAGAGAUUUCAACAGCUAUUUCAAAACCUGUAGGGUUUGGAGAAGAGUUUGACGAGGAUGAGCUCAUGGCAGAAUUAGAAGAACUAGAACAGGAGGAACUAGACAAGAAUUUGCUGGAAAUCAGUGGACCGGAAACAGUCCCUCUACCAAAUGUUCCUUCUAUAUCCGUACCAUCAAAACCCACCAAGAAGAAGGAAGAGGAAGACGACGACAUGAAGGAAUUGGAGACCUGGGCUGGAUGCAUUUAACUGGUCCAGCGCGGGCUGGGCCCAGACAGACUCUGGUGGCCUGUGAGGCAGGCAGGCGCGUGCGUGUGUGGGGCAGGCAGGCCGUGGUGCAGGCAGGUUCCAUCGCUCUCGAAUCUCCCUCCAAAGCAGUAGGGCUGCGUCACUGCUCACUCUGCAUAGCAUGGUCUGCACCCAGUGGUACGGGUUGGGGGGAGGGGAGUGGGGGGCUGGGAGGUGCCUGCUGUUUAUAAUGUUGAAUUUCUGUAAAAUAAACUGUAUUUGCAAAUC